rnacentral:rRNA from 1 species
UGGCGGACGGGUGAGUAAUGUCUGGGAAACUGCCUGAUGGAGGGGGAUAACUACUGGAAACGGUAGCUAAUACCGCAUAACGUCGCAAGACCAAAGAGGGGGACCUUCGGGCCUCUUGCCAUCGGAUGUGCCCAGAUGGGAUUAGCUAGUAGGUGGGGUAAGGCGUCACCUAGGCGACGAUCCCUAGCUGGUCUGAGAGGAUGACCAGCCACACUGGAACUGAGACACGGUCCAG